AACGAACGCUGGCGGCAGGCCUAACACAUGCAAGUCGAGCGAGGACUUCGGUCCUAGCGGCGGACGGGUGAGUAACGCGUGGGAACGUGCCCUUUGCUUCGGAAUAGCCCUGGGAAACUGGGAGUAAUACCGGAUGAGCCCUUUGGGGGAAAGAUUUAUCGGCGAAGGAUCGGCCCGCGUUGGAUUAGGUAGUUGGUGGGGUAAUGGCCUACCAAGCCGACGAUCCAUAGCUGGUUUGAGAGGAUGAUAAGCCACACUGGGACUGAGACACGGCCCAGACUCCUACGGGAGGCAGCAGUGGGGAAUCUUAGACAAUGGGGGAAACCCUGAUCUAGCCAUGCCGCGUGAGCGAUGAAGGCCUUAGGGUUGUAAAGCUCUUUCAGCUGGGAAGAUAAUGACGGUACCAGCAGAAGAAGCCCCGGCUAACUCCGUG
rnacentral:rRNA from 1 species